UGUUGGAACAAAACGACGGGGAAACGCCGAUAACAAAUGUGCUCGAGUUGUUUAACGAUCUGUACCACAGAUUCCGAUUGACAACUAAACCAACUAUGAAAGCAAUGUGCCUUCAGGCGAUGACUAAAGUUUAUGGAAAAUGUUAGGAAGAGAUUGGCGC
rnacentral:lncRNA from 1 species